GACGAACGCUGGCGGCGUGCUUAACACAUGCAAGUCGAACGGAAUGGCCCUGCUUUUGUGGGGUGCUCGAGUGGCGAACGGGUGAGUAACACGUGAGUAACCUGCCCUUGACUUUGGGAUAACUUCAGGAAACUGGGGCUAAUACCGGAUAGGAGCUCCUGCUGCAUGGUGGGGGUUGGAAAGUUUCGGCGGUUGGGGAUGGACUCGCGGCUUAUCAGCUUGUUGGUGGGGUAGUGGCUUACCAAGGCUUUGACGGGUAGCCGGCCUGAGAGGGUGACCGGCCACAUUGGGACUGAGAUACGGCCCAGACUCCUACGGGAGGCAGCAGUGGGGAAUAUUGCACAAUGGGCGGAAGCCUGAUGCAGCAACGCCGCGUGCGGGAUGACGGCCUUCGGGUUGUAAACCGCUUCCGCCUGUGACGAAGCGUGAGUGACGGUAAUGGGUAAAGAAGCACCGGCUAACUACGUG
rnacentral:rRNA from 1 species